UCAGGAUGAACGCUAGCUACAGGCUUAACACAUGCAAGUCGAGGGGCAGCAUGGUCUUAGCUUGCUAAGGCCGAUGGCGACCGGCGCACGGGUGAGUAACACGUAUCCAACCUGCCGUCUACUCUUGGACAGCCUUCUGAAAGGAAGAUUAAUACAAGAUGGCAUCAUGAGUCCGCAUGUUCACAUGAUUAAAGGUAUUCCGGUAGACGAUGGGGAUGCGUUCCAUUAGAUAGUAGGCGGGGUAACGGCCCACCUAGUCUUCGAUGGAUAGGGGUUCUGAGAGGAAGGUCCCCCACAUUGGAACUGAGACACGGUCCAAACUCCUACGGGAGGCAGCAGUGAGGAAUAUUGGUCAAUGGGCGAGAGCCUGAACCAGCCAAGUAGCGUGAAGGAUGACUGCCCUAUGGGUUGUAAACUUCUUUUAUAAAGGAAUAAAGUCGGGUAUGGAUACCCGUUUGCAUGUACUUUAUGAAUAAGGAUCGGCUAACUCCGUGCCAGCAGCCGCGGUAAUACGGAGGAUCCGAGCGUUAUCCGGAUUUAUUGGGUUUAAAGGGAGCGUAGAUGGAUGUUUAAGUCAGUUGUGAAAGUUUGCGGCUCAACCGUAAAAUUGCAGUUGAUACUGGAUAUCUUGAGUGCAGUUGAGGCAGGCGGAAUUCGUGGUGUAGCGGUGAAAUGCUUAGAUAUCACGAAGAACUCCGAUUGCGAAGGCAGCCUGCUAAGCUGCAACUGACAUUGAGGCUCGAAAGUGUGGGUAUC
rnacentral:rRNA from 2 species